CUAAUAAAUGCGCGCUUCCUUCCUUCUGCUUCCAAACUUUAGGUAGAAAGAUUCCAUUUAAAACAUUUGUCUAAAGAUUAAGAAGAUUGUAUAAAUCUUUCGCCUUCUACAUCCAAAGAAUCCAGAAUUCAGAAUCCAGCCCAUCACCCAUGCCUCCAGGAGCUAUGAUCAUCUAAGAGAAUGGUGACAAACAGAUGGGCAGAGUGUUUUCUUGUGCACCUGUUACUACUUGGAAGGACCUGAAUUUUACUUCUUACUGCAAAAAUGAAAAUAAAAAUCUGAAGAACCUAAUCUCUGAUUCCACUCUGAAUCAGACUGUCUGUACUCCCUCU